rnacentral:rRNA from 1 species
GACAGAGGGUGCAAACGUUGUUCGGAAUUACUGGGCGUAAAGCGCGUGUAGGCUGCUUCGCAAGUCGGAUGUGAAAGCCCUGGGCUCAACCCAGGAAGUGCAUUCGAAACUGCAGAGCUGGAGUCCUGGAGAGGAAGGCGGAAUUCCGGGUGUAGCGGUGGAAUGCGUAGAGAUCCGGAAGAACACCGGUGGCGAAGGCGGCCUGCUGGGCAGUUGCUGACACUGAGGCGCGACAGCGUGGGGAGCAACAGG